GACGAACGCUGGCGGCGUGCUUAACACAUGAAAGUCGAACGAAGUGGCGAACGGGUGAGUAACGCGUAAUCAACCUGCCCUUAAGAGGGGGACAACAGUUGGAAACGACUGCUAAUACCGCAUACGGCAGGAGGGGCUUGCGUUUGAUUAGCUAGUGGGAGGGGUAACGGCCCACCAAGGCGAUGAUCAGUAGCCGGUCUGAGAGGAUGAACGGCCACAUUGGGACUGAGACACGGCCCAGACUCCUACUGGAGGCAGCAGGGGGGAAUCUUCCGCAAUGGACGAAAGUCUGACGGAGCAACGCCGCGUGAGUGAUGACGGCCUUCGGGUUGUAAAGCUCUGUUAAUCGGGACGCGGUACCGGAAUAGAAAGCCACGGCUAACUACGUGCCAGCAGCCGCGGUAAUAC
rnacentral:rRNA from 1 species